UUUACUUCCUGUUGUCCGUUCAGUCAAAAAGGACAAAGAACAUUCUCGCUGUGACAUUUCAACAACUUAUUUUAAAAAUGACUUCUUCAUCGCAUGACUUGAUUUUUUAAAAAGUUUAACUACAUCAUAUUAUAGCGUAGUAAUAUAGAGCAUUCAAGUAAAUGAAAGGUUGUCGAAGAUAUUGUUGGACACUUGAGAAAGUACAAGUCGAUCCAUCCAUUUCUACCGCUUGUCCUUCUCGGGGUUGCGGAGAGCUGGAGCCUGUCCCAGCUGCACUCAGUGGGAAGGCAGUGUACACCCUGGACAAGUAAGGAUGUGGGGGUCAAUUCGUGUUCAAAGACUGGCACAGAGAGAAACUAUUCGACUGUGCUCCAAUAUCUCAAACAAACCUUUAACAUCACCGACUGCCAAGUCAAAUUCACAUCUGCGUCUUCAAGCUGAGAAACAGAAGCGGAGAAAACAGAGGGAAAAUGCCAUAUUGUCAACUCAACACAAUAAAGCUGAUGAAGAACUUGUGAAAUGGACCGAGAAGGAGAGGAUUCUCUACACUGCUCAUAUACCGCCCGGGUCAAAGAAAGACACAACCUUGCCUCUCCCAUCCGCAUACAGUCCAGAUUAUGUGGAGUCCAGAUGGUAUCAGUGGUGGGAGAAAGAGAGAUUCUUCAGUCCCGAGCAGCAUACAAAAUUAUCUCAUGCUGUGGAUCAGAAUUUUGUGCUGUGUAUCCCUCCACCAAAUGUAACUGGGACUCUGCAUCUGGGACAUGCUCUGACUGUAGCUAUAGAAGAUGCUUUGGUUCGAUGGAGAAGGAUGCAGGGCCAGAGAGUAUUGUGGGUACCUGGAUGUGAUCAUGCAGGAAUAGCAACACAGACUGUGGUGGAGAGAAUGUUGCUCCGGGAAACAGGGAAGCGGAGACAAGACUUCACUAGAGAAGAAUUUUUAAAGGAGGUUUGGAAAUGGAAACAUGAGAAAGGAGAAGAAAUCUAUCAUCAGUUAAGGAAACUUGGUGCGUCCCUGGACUGGAGCAGAGCCUGUUUCACUAUGGAUGAAGAUUUCAGUAAGGCUGUUACUGAGGCCUUUGUCCGACUGUGUGACGCCGAUUUGAUCUUUCGCUCAGAGGGACUCGUCAAUUGGAGCUGUGCCCUGGAGUCUGCAAUAUCUGAUAUAGAGGUUGAUUCAAAAGAACUAUCUGGGCAAACCAUGCUGUCUGUUCCUGGUUAUGAACACAAAGUAGAGUUUGGAACCAUGUUUACAUUUGCCUACCCCAUAGAAGACUGUGGUGGUGAUGUGGCGGUGUCAACAACCCGUCCAGAAACCAUGCUUGGAGAUGUGGCCAUAGCUGUUCACCCUGAUGAUCCUCGAUACCAGAAUGUUCACGGAAAGGUUUGCCGCCACCCCUUUAUUGACAGACUGCUGCCAAUUGUCACUGAUACAAUGGUGGACAUGGAGCUCGGAACAGGUGCAGUGAAGGUUACUCCUGCUCAUGACCUCUUAGACUUCUUAUUGUCACAGAGACAUGCUCUACCGCGCCUUACUGUGAUUGGAGAAGAUGGGAAGAUGACUCCACUAUGUGGUCAAUGGCUUGAGGGAGUGAAACGUUUUGAUGCUCGACAACUGGUAAUCGACGCUUUGGUUGAGAAAAAGCUGUUCCGGGGAAAAAAGGGUCACACCAUGACCUUACCCACUUGCAGCCGCUCAGGGGAUGUCAUUGAGCCUCUUCUUAAGAAGCAGUGGUUUGUCCGCUGUCAGGAAAUGGCCAAAAAAGCUAUACAGGCUGUGGAGGAUGGACAACUGGAAAUCAUUCCACACUUUUACAACAAAACAUGGAUGAACUGGCUGUCCAACAUCAGUGACUGGUGCAUUUCCAGACAGCUUUGGUGGGGGCAUCAAAUCCCUGCUUACAGAGUGAAGCUUUCUGGUGUUAAAGAUGAACAGGAGGAACAGUGGGUUUGGGGAAGGAAUGAGGACGAAGCCCGACAGCGAGCUACUAUCAAAUAUGGAGUGAAGCCAGAGGACAUCAGUCUGACUCAGGACCCUGAUGUUCUGGAUACAUGGUUCUCCUCUGGGCUGUUUCCUUUUGCAAUGCUGGGCUGGCCUCAGCAGACCAGUGACUUUCAACGCUUCUACCCCCACACCCUCCUGGAGACUGGCAGUGAUCUCAUAUUCUUCUGGGUGGCGAGGAUGGUAAUGCUGGGCACAGAACUGACUGGCCAGUUGCCUUUUAAACAAGUUCUGCUUCACUCUUUGGUGAGGGAUAAACAUGGCAGGAAAAUGACAAAAUCUUUGGGAAACGUCAUUGACCCCCUGGAUGUUAUACAUGGAGUCUCAUUGGAGAAGCUCCAACAGAAAGUUAUGGAAGGUAACCUCGACCCCAGGGAAAAGGUGGUUGCCAUGGAAGCUCAGAGAAAAGACUUCCCUAAGGGGAUCCCUCAGUGUGGGACUGACGCGCUGAGAUUUGCCCUCUGCUCUCAUAAGAUGCAGGGAGAAGACAUCAGUCUAUCCUUCUCCCAGGUCCUGAGUUGCAGGCACUUCUGUAAUAAAAUGUGGCAGACACUGAGAUUUACUCUGGGUGCACUUGGUGACACUGCACCAGUGGGGAUGCUGGAAAAGACCGCUCCUUUGAGUAGCAUGGAUCAAUGGAUCUGCUCUCGACUAUACAGCACAGUAGAUCAAUGCGAGGAGGCCCUUGAAAAAUAUGAUCUGCACACUGCCACAGCUGUCCUGUACGCCUUCUGGGUCCACAACCUGUGCGACGUUUACAUGGAGAGUGUGAAGCCAGUGCUACAGAAGCAGAAUGAGGAAGCAGUGGUUGCUCAGAAUGGCAGCAUAGGGAGAUCGGCGCCAAGCGUCAUCCUCUAUCACUGUGUGUCCACAUCUCUGGCACUCCUCUCCCCAUUCAUGCCCUUCAUUACAGAGGAGCUGUGGCAGAGACUCAAACCCUUUCGAGCUGAAGCUGCAGCCCAGAGCAGCUUGUGUCUGCAGCCUUACCCUUCCUCGUCUCAAAUGAAACACUGGCAUUUCCCAGAAGUGGAGAGAGAUUUCCUGCUGGUCAGGGAAGUGAUCCGAGUAGCUCGCUCUCUUAGAGCGCAGUGUGGUAUGACCAAAGAAAAGCCUGACAUGUGGAUAGUGUGUUCACUCAGUCAGGCCGAGAUCCUUCUUUCCUUUGAAUCUGCUGUUUGGACUCUGAGCCGAGUCUCUCGUGUCAGUAUCUUCUGUCCUGAAGAAGGAGAAAGCCUCCACUCUGUCAGCUCCACUCCCCCACCCAAAGGCUGCCUCAUUGGUGUGGUGGACCACACCUGUCAGCUGCACUUACCUGUUCAGAGUGGCAUGAAUAUUGACAAACAAAUUGUCCAGCUCACCCAACGGAGUAGUAAGCUUGUUUCAAAGCUGGAGGAGAUCCGCUGCAAAGUUCAAGCUCCAGACUACCUGACCAAGGUCCCGGCACAAGUCAGGGAACAGAUGGACAAUAAGGCAUCAUGUUUGGAGGAAACCAGGCACCGCUCAUCACCAGGUCAAUACCAUCCCCACAGUGAAGCAUGGUGGUGGCAUCAUCAUGCUGUGGGGAAGUUUUAGCGGCAGGAAUUUUGGAUACUAGUAAAGAAAGAGAAAAAGAUGAAUGCAGCAAUGUACAGAAACUUCCUGGAUGAAAACCAACGUUUCCCAUCCAACUUGAAGGAGCUUGAAAAACUGCAAUGUCAGCCUUCCAGCAGGAGUUGAAGAAUAUCGAGGAUCAGCUAAAGGUGCUGCAGGCGUACAAAUAAUAUUCCACCAGCAAAUAUUGCACUAAUAUUCUUGACUACUGUCGUAACAAUCAUAAGACAACAAAUCCUGGUUGUAAUAGUAUAAAUGGUUCUAGAAGUCAUAAUAGUUAGUAUUAAUCAUAGUUUAGAACAGGGGUGUCCAAAGUGCAGUACUUUUUUUUGCUAAUUUUGGAAGUGUUCACAGCAGUCAUAUUUUGAUACUUGAUGCAUGCUAACAUUAGCAAGCUAGCAUUUUAAACAAACAUUUCAGAUACACACUUCAGAGUAAUAUACAGUGUUUUGGUACUUGAUGCGUGUUACAGUUAGCAUGUAUAUUUUGGUAUUUCACUAAUGCAAACUGUAAGCAUGCUAUUAUUACCAUCUUUUUUAUCUCAUUUUGCUCCUAUUUUUUGUUAUUGAUGCUAUCUGGCCUGCGCGCUAACUCUUACAGUUCAGUUCAGCUUUGGUUCUUCAGCAUUCACACAGAAUUUCUACCAAAAUUGUAUUUUGUAGUUCUUUAAAAAAACAUUUAUAUAUGGUAUUGGUUUUGAAGGUGAAAACUACCAAAAUGGCCCCGCAUCCUUUGAUUUGUCAGUCGAUGGCCCUCAGUGGAAAAGGUUUGGGCACCCCUGGUUUAGAACAACCAUAUUUCCGAGUGCAUUGACAGUGAAGUGAGGUGAAAAAAUUAUGUUUAUAUAGCGCUUUUCUCCAGAGACUCAAAGCGCUUUACAUAGUGAAACCCAUUAUCUACAUCUUUAAGCUAUAUUUAAACCAAUGUGGGUGGCACUGGGAGCAUGUAGGUAAAGUGUCUUGCCCAAGAACACAACAGUAGUGACUAGGAUGGUGGAAGCAGGGAUCGAACCUGGAACCUUCAAGUUGCUGGCACUCUACCAAACAAACCGCGCCGCCCGUGCCGUUACCAUUUUAGACAAAAUUGUGGGUUGUGUGCAUGUGCUCAAAAAAUAUCUGUUCAAAUGUGUGCGCAAAUCUACAUGAUUGGUUAUGAAUGCUGCUCUGUUGUGGAACUAUGAUAGUAAUUUUGCUGGCACUGAUUUUUUAAAUCAGCCGUGUAACAUUGCAUCAUGUGUAACUAUACUGUACAUGAUUUAAAAAUAUUUAUGAAUUGUUCAACUGGGUCAAGAAAAUAUGGCAAUAAUAAAAGGGGAUUUGUGUGUGCUAGGA